AUCUGUUCUGGGUCAAUAUUUGUUUCACCUUGGCAAAGCUUCCUAUACAAACCUGUGAUCAUAUGCCUUUGUUUUCUCACUUCAGGUACAAGGUAGCUGGAGACCACCCUGGCUGAGCUGUGAUCAGUCGCAUCUAGACUAGUUUGGUGUUUCAGAGCAAGUCUCUCAAAUGCCCUGUGCCUCAAUGCUCUCAUCUGCACGUUGGAAGAAAGAAUUCCUGCUUCCCAGAGCCGUUGGGAGGAGUAACAGAGGUGAAGUGUGUAAAGUACACACGAAAGGAACUCAGCUGACAGCAGCAUCUUCACUGGUUCCUCUCUGUGACACAGGGAACGUGAUCAUGCCAACAACAUCCUUUGCUGUGAACAUCAAACAAACAAACACAUGUGAUGAAGUUACAACAGCCCCUAGCCCAUAGGAGGAACUCAGAUAGUUUCAGAUUUCUGACCCACGGAAAGGCAAGAUAUUCUAAUUCUGCACUGCCCAGUAGGGUGGCCUCUAGCCACAUGUGGCCACUGAGAUCCUGCAGUGUGGCCUGUCCAAGCUGAACCGAACUCUUGGUGGGAAAUGCUCACCAGAUUUGAAGACUUUGUAUGACAGAAUGAACAGAAAUAUCUUGACAUUUUUGUCUCAGGUA
rnacentral:lncRNA from 10 species